CGCAUCUGUGCAUGCAGCAUAUCAAUAAGCGGAGGAAAAGAAACUAACAAGGAUUCCCUUAGUAACGGCGAGUGAAGCGGGAAGAGCUCAAAUUUGAAAUCUUCAAGGUUUUACCUUGACGAAUUGUAGUUUAAAGAAGUGUUUUCUGUUGAAGUUUUGGUAAAAGUUCUUUGGAAUAGGACAUCAUAGAGGGUGAGAAUCCCGUAUUUGACCAUUAUUUUCAGCUGUGUGAUACACUUUCAAAGAGUCGGAUUGUUUGGGAAUGCAGUCCAAAAUGGGUGGUAAAUUUCAUCUAAAGCUAAAUAUUGGCGAGAGACCGAUAGCGAACAAGUACCGUGAGGGAAAGAUGAAAAGAACUUUGAAAAGAGAGUUAAACAGUACGUGAAAUUGUCAAAAGGGAAGCGUUUGACACCAGUGUUGUUUUCUCGAAAAUCAAUUAAAAAGAGUUUAGAUUUUGUUGUGUAUUGACCUUAACAGCUUGCAUUUCAAUUUUCUUGCUUUUUUUAAUGCACUUUUCGUUUAACAAGUCAACAUCAGUUUCUUUUGUUGUAAAAAGGUCAUUGGAAGGUGGCUUUCUUUUCGGAGAAAGUGUUUAUAGCCUUUGAUCUCCUGCAAUCGGAGAGACUGAGGUCUGCAGCGUAGAUCCUUCGGGGUUAGAUACAUUUGUGCUAAGUUAUAGCUUUUAUAGACAACUUGUUGACUAUGAUUAGUCUUGUAGCUUACUCGCUUAUGCUAUUUUACCUACGCUUAGGAUGUUGACGCGCGUGUGUGCGUGAUCUAUACAUGACACACUGCAUAUCAAUAAGCGGAGGAAAAGCAGACAAAGCAGAUGACCGACUACCUACGCUUAGGAUGUUGACGCGCGUGUGUGCGUGAUCUAUACAUGACUCUGUGCAUAUCAAUAAGCGGAGGAAAAGGCUGCGGAACUGAACGACCGCUACCUACGCUUAGGAUGUUGAAGAUGUAGCACAUCAUACACGCAUGACACACUGCAUAUCAAUAAGCGGAGGAAAAGCCAUACCUACGCUUAGGAUGUUGACACACGCGCGUGCUCGACUCUAUACAUGACUCUGUGCAUAUCAAUAAGCGGAGGAAAAGACUGCGGAACUGAACGACCGCUACCUACGCUUAGGAUGUUGAGUAGCGACAUACGCAC
rnacentral:rRNA from 1 species